ACAUAAAGAAAAACCCCAAUUUUUUUGGUUUUCCCUCUUAUAUUUUUCCUCUGUCUCAGACCCAUACCCCAAAUGACCCCGUACCCCUCUCUCUCCUCUUAGAUCCCAUACCCCUCUCUCCCCUCUCAGACCCCAAACCUCAAACCCCAAACCCCAAACCUCUAACCUCUGUAAGUCUCCCUCUCUCUUCUCUCAGACCUCAAACCCCAAACCGCAAAUGACUGAACCCCAAACCUCUGUAAAUCUCCCUCUCUCUUCUCUUAGACCGAUCAUCCUCUCGAGCAACGGAGACCUUCGAUCAUCCUCUCGGCAGCUCCAUCCUCUCGGGCAGCUCCAUCGUAGGCGGCGUCCCCACCUCUCCGAUCAUCGUAGGUGGCAGCUGACCAGAGUGAGUUGGAAAGAACAUAAGCAAGAAUAAGUGUUGCUGCUUCCUUAAAUUUCCCAGCCUUCUCAAGAAAAUCUAUCACAACUAGUAUAUCUCCUCUGAGGUAUUGUGUUGAUGCUGUGCAUUACAAAAAUGAAGAUGUGAUCAAACUUUUAGAGGAACAUGGUGCAAAGCCUCCGAUGGCUCAUUACAUGCAUGUUAAAAAUGCACGCGAAGUCCCCGAGUAUGAGAUCGAUCCCAAGGAGCUUGCUUUAUCUCAGAAAAUGAUAACCAAGAAAAGAAGAAAGUGCAAGAAUUGAAGCAGUGGAUUGAAGAAUUGGAAAAUGAAUUGAGGUGAGCAUAGACUAAUAAUAAAUACCAUCUUUGGUAUAUUUUGCUACUGCUUUAAUUGUGUUUGAGUUUGACUAAUAAUGACAUAAUGCUCUCUUGGUAUACGUUUGUGAAAUGGUUAUUGAUAUCAUAAAGCACUCUUUCAUAGCUAAAUUUAAUGGCAUAAAGCCCAUUGCAUACUCUCAGUUUCUUGAGGACCUCUGUUUUUUUCUCCUUUCUAUUAUGAGUUGAUAUUUGUUCAGUUGUAUCACAGCUGCAAUAUAUUCAAGUAACAAAAUGUAUAUUGUUGAAAGUGAAGUAUAUGCCUUUGAUAUAUUACUACAAUGGUCAACGAGUCUCAUUAUAUUGUGAUAUGUUUCCAGGUUAUUUAAUAGUGUCUCAUGAAAAAAGCAUAUGACCAAAGAUAAUUUGAGUUUAGGGAAUCAUUUGGCUAUCUUGUACUGUUGAAUAAAUGAAAAGUAUUACUGUAGGAUUUGUUAUUUGUUGUAUUAGUUAUUCUCUUGAUAGUACAUUUAGUUGUCAUCUCAUCCCAAUGAGUUUCAGGUUGACAAAAGCCAUAUGUAGUAAACUAUUUUGAAGUAUUUCUUCCCCAUUACAGUUUAACUUAGUCUUCAUUAUGAUUAUAGAUUUUUUCUGUAGUGAUUUUGCUCAUUUAUAAGUUUUGAUAGUUGCACACUUUUUGGGAUCAUGAAAGCUAUAAAUACAUAACAUUUCUUUGAUAGCGUGGGUAUUACUCACAUAGUCAAGCAUAAGCAGGAGAAUCACUGUUAUAUAGAUACCGAAGAUUCAAAGAAUAUUCUCACUUUUAUUUCACUGGCGCUAGCUUGUGUGGUCAGUUCUAGCUUAUACUUACUCUUAACAUGUUUUCAUGGUUUCAUGUGAAUGCAAUAAUCUGAUUUCUUACAAGUAUUAAUAAAUAAAAGCUUUAUUAUUUACAUGUUAAUUUUAUCUUUAGACCCAAAAUAACAUGCAUUCUAUUUUUGGCCCAUUAAUUUGAAUAUAUCCCAAAUUUGAAACCCAUUCUUUGUUUUUGUCAUAGUUUGAACAGUCUCAAUUACAAAUUAAUGGCCAAAACUGAAUCAACAGGAAAAAAAACUUGAUUAUUUAUUUAUAGAAAGAGGAGAUGGUGGUGGCAAGUCACGAGGCUAUGCACUCAGUUAGGUAGCCUGCAAGUCACGAGGACUGAGGUGAUGGUGUACUCUUCAAUGAACUCAUUUUUAAUUUUAUUUUGUAAUUAUAAUUGAAAGUGGCUAAUAAAGAUAUACGUAUAAAAAAAAAUUAGGUGGCCUGAUGAUACAAUCUAUAUAUAUAUAGUCGAUAUCUUCUUUUAUCCUUUUCCCUAGCUGUACAUUUUGUUAUCUUAUCCCUAAAUAAAUAAAAACAAAAGAGCAAAAAAAAUAUAGAGAACAAAUCAGCCUUCAAGCUUGUCAUAUAUGUAGUUUGGUAUUCAUAUAUAAUAUCAUAAUUAAUUAUAUAUAAGAAUUAGUUAUAUGUGUUAUUAUAUUGUAAUUGAAAAAUGAAGGAUAACCUUCAAAGUCGCAAUCACUUUGGUAAAGCUUUCUUAUUUAUUCAUUUCUUGAGCAGCGCAAAGAAGAGUUGAAGAAAAUUUGAUUUGAAAUAUGGUAGGGCACUUGUUGGACAUGUGAUUGAAAUAUGGAAUAGUAAUAUUUAUCAUCACUCUAGCUACAGCAUAUAUAAUAUAUAGAUCGUUGGUUGUGACUCUUCUACAUGCACAUAAAUAUUAUAAAGAUUGUAGGUAUAAAUAUAUGUAUAUUAGUUUUUUGUCAAAAGUGUAAUCCAUCUUUGUAUUUUGAAAAUAGCAUAAACUAAGUUAUGAUGUAGGUUUCUAUGUAUUUUAGGUGGACAAGUUAAGCAUUUGACUCAACCCAAGGCUGAGAAGAAAGAGUAAGAUGAGCAUUUGAUUUUUCUCUUCUUUGCAUUAUUAUUUAAUUAUUUAAUUCGGAUUUGACUCACUUUCAUUAUAUUAUAACAUUGUAAAUGUGUGUAUGUGCUGAGACAGACUUCAAAGAAACUUUUUUUGCAAGAGGUAUGUCUCUAACUUUUAUUUUAAUACUAUGCAAAUGUUAGAGGAGUUUGAAUAUCUUAAAUAUUCAUCCAUAGUGAAGUAGGUUCUGAGAUUGUUACUGUGUGCUGCGGUGAUAACGGAAGGUUAAGAACUUUUGUGUUUUAGUGAAGUAGGAUCUUAGAAAUUUUUGUGCUGCGGAGAUAAGAAAGAAAAUUUGUGUGUUGUUUGAAUUGAUGUAGAUUUGUCUAUGAUCAUCCUAUAAUUGAAUUGUGUUUGUUUGAUUGGUUUGAUUAUAACAUAUACUUGUAUGAAUGUACAUAUUGCGUGUUGGCAUACGCAUAUAGCAUAACUUUUUGUAUUUCUUGUUUUGUAUAUGUUAGUUUUCUUCUUGUCCCUUGUCUAAUGUCUUUGGUGAGGUGAUUUAUAACAUUGAGUAUCACUUUUGGUUUUUGUGAUCACAUUUAGGUUCAAUAGUAUAAAGUGCUAUACAAAAGUUUGACGUUAUUAGCAUAUUGGUUGAUAAUUUAUUAUUUCUAUUUUUGCACCAGAACUAUUAUCAAUUUGUGUUUAUUUUAAUUGAAGCAUAGCUUUAUGUUUCAUUGUAGUCUAAUAGUUUGAUCAUUUUCUUACUUAAAUAAUAUCUAAGUUAUUUUUUUUCUUCCAAAUUGUGAUUUUUUUCACCAUGUUCGAUGGCCUUAGCUGAAACAAUGUAUUCUUUAAACAAUUGAAAAUUUUCUAAAAAAUCAAUUGGUGAGAUUUGGGUUCAAUCAAUUGAGACAUAGGAUAUAUAUUUAUAUAUUUACUCGAUGAUUUCCUUUUCUGCACUAGAACUACUAUCUCAAUUUGUGUUUAUUUUAAUUGAAGCAUAGCUUUGUGUUUCAUUGUAUUCUAAUAGUUUGAUCAUUUACUUAUUUAAAUAAUAUCUGAGUUAUUUGUUUUCUUCCAAACUGUGAUUGUUUUUACCAUGUUCGAUGGCUUUAGCUGAAACAAUGUAUUCUUUAAACAAUUGAAAGUUUUCUAAAAAAAUCAAUUGGUGAGUUUUGGGUUCAAUCAAUUGAGACAUAGGAUAUAUAUUUAUAUAUUUACUCGAUGAUUUCCUUUUCUGCACCAAAACUACUUUCUCAAUUUGUGUUUAUUUUAAUUGAAGCAUAGCUUUGUGUUUCAUUGUAGUCUAAUAGUUUGAUCAUUUUCUUACUUAAAUAAUAUCUAAGUUAUUUUUUUCUUCCAAACUGUGAUUGUUUUUACCAUGUUUGAUGGCCUCAGUUGGAACAAUGUAUUCUUUAAACAAUUGAAAAUUUUCUAAAAUGGAUUGAUUAUCACUUUGUUAAAAAUGCUGUGCUUGCAUAGAAUUCAUAAUUAUAUGACUAUUUAUUAAAAGAAAUAUAUAUGCUUGACCAAAAGGAAUUAUGGUUUUUUAUUUUGCGUAGACUUUCAAACGUGAAUUAGAUUUAUAAAUUUGGAUUAGGCUUAUUCACAACUCGUUGUGUUACUUUAACAACUUUGUCUGGUAUGCUCGUUGUGUUACUUUAAUAACUUUAACAAAUGUCACCUGGUAUGCUUGUGUUACAUAUUAAUGAUCUAUUAUAUUUAUGUUCUUGGUGCUCUUAUUUAUAACUAUAUUAUCUUUUCUUUUCUUGCUAAGUACUAUGGACUUAGAAUCUUAUGCAUAUUACAUACACAGUGCAUGUCUUUAUAUGUGUGUAUAUAUGUAUAUUAAUUUCUCGAUGUUUAUUGUAUAUUUGCUAUUGUGCUAUGAAUGAUUGGUAAUUUGGUUUAUUAAUGUCUAUGUGAUUUCAUAAACUAACUAGCUUGAGUACUUUUAAAUUGAGCUUGACAGGUAUGCAUUCCCUAGUUUAAAGAAUUAAGACUAACUAUUUAAGCCAUAAGGUUAUCCAGUUUGAUAAGAAAAAUAAAAUUUUUAUAUAAAUUAUUUUUGUGACUGAAAACCACAAUCAUUCUUUUUAUUUCUUCUGCAACCUCAAGUUCUCUAUUUAUUUUAGUUUUGGUUUAACUUUAAUGGUGUUUAUUCUGUAUUGUAGGCUAAAACUCUACUUGGAUAUUUAAGAGAACCAAGAUAAUUAUAUAAGAGAACCAAGGCAACACGAAAUUCUUCUUCAAGUUGUUAGGCAAUGGCAAGUUAGACCAGCCUUGAUUGGAGAGCUCAGCGAGCAGAAUGUACAUAGCCAGAUGCCCGGCUGCCACGGUUGAGGUUUAGGCAGGGACGCGAGACUUAGAAACUGUCUGUUUUGCCUUAAUAUGGCUAGUGAAUAUUCAUGUACUUUUGGGAGUCUGUAAACUUAUUUAAACUCUGUUUUCUUAUGGGAUCCCAUGUUUAUAAUAGUAAAAUAUAUAAAGUGGUCUUUU